GCUCCUUUAGCUCAAUGGAGAAGAGCGCCGGCCUACGAAGCCGGAGGUUGCAGGUUCGAGUCCUGCAAGGAGCGCCA
rnacentral:tRNA from 1 species